rnacentral:sRNA from 1 species
GCUGGGUGUGGUGGCUCAUGCCUAUAAUCCCAGCAGCUCAGGAUGCUGAGGCAGGAGGAUCAUGAGUUCAAAGCCAGCCUUAGCAAAAGCAACAAAGUCACUAAGCAACUCAGUGAGACCCUGUCUCUA